CCUGGACUGGUUCGAAAACUUCCCAGAAUAAAAAACUAAGUAACA
rfam:Streptococcus dysgalactiae subsp. equisimilis RE378 DNA, complete genome.